GACGAACGCUGGCGGCGUGCCUAAUACAUGCAAGUAGAACGCUGAAGAGAGGAGCUUACUCUUCUUGGAUGAGUUGCGAACGGGUGAGUAACGCGUAGGUAACCUGCCUUGUAGCGGGGGAUAACUAUUGGAAACGAUAGCUAAUACCGCAUAACAAUGGAUGACACUUGUCAUUUAUUUGAAAGGGGCAAUUGCUCCACUACAAGAUGGACCUGCGUUGUAUUAGCUAGUAGGUGAGGUAAUGGCUCACCUAGGCGACGAUACAUAGCCGACCUGAGAGGGUGAUCGGCCACACUGGGACUGAGACACGGCCCAGACUCCUACGGGAGGCAGCAGUAGGGAAUCUUCGGGAAUGGGGGCAACCCUGACCGAGCAACGCCGCGUGAGUGAAGAAGGGUUUCGGAUCGUAAAGCUCUGUUGUAAGUCAAGAACGGGUGUGAGAGUGGAAAGUUCACACUGUGACGGUAGCUUACCAGAAAGGGACGGCUAACUACGUG
rnacentral:rRNA from 1 species